AACAGGGAUUGCCUUAGUAACGGCGAGUGAAGCGGCAACAGCUCAAAUUUGAAAUCUGGCCCCCUCGGGGUCCGAGUUGUAAUUUGUAGAGGAUGCUUCGGCGAGGGCUCCCGUCUAAGUUCCUUGGAACAGGACGUCGUAGAGGGUGAGAAUCCCGUAUGCGAUGGGUCGCCCGAGCCAUGUGAAGCUCCUUCGACGAGUCGAGUUGUUUGGGAAUGCAGCUCUAAAUGGGAGGUAAAUUUCUUCUAAAGCUAAAUACCGGCCAGAGACCGAUAGCGCACAAGUAGAGUGAUCGAAAGAUGAAAAGCACUUUGGAAAGAGAGUUAAAAAGUACGUGAAAUUGUUGAAAGGGAAGCGCUUGCAGCCAGACUCGUCCGCAGUUGCUCAGCCGGUCUCCUGACCGGUGUACUCUUCUGCGGCCGGGCCAGCAUCAGUUCGGGCGGUCGGAUAAAGGCCCCGGGAAUGUAGCUCCCCUCGGGGAGUGUUAUAGCCCGGGGCGGAAUGCGGCCAGCCCGGACUGAGGAUCUCGCUUCGGCUAGGAUGCUGGCGUAAUGGCUGUAAGCGGCCCGUCUUGAAACACGGACCAAGGAGUCUAACAUCUACGCGAGUGUUUGGGUGUCAAACCCAAGCGCGUAAUUAAAGUGAACGGAGGUGGGAACCCCUCGGGGCGCACCAUCGACCGAUCCUGAUGUCUUCGGAUGGAUUUGAGUAAGAGCGUAGCUGUUGGGACCCGAAAGAUGGUGAACUAUGCCUGAAUAGGGUGAAGCCAGAGGAAACUCUGGUGGAGGCUCGCAGCGGUUCUGACGUGCAAAUCGAUCGUCAAAUUUGGGUAUAGGGCG
rnacentral:rRNA from 1 species